rnacentral:rRNA from 1 species
AACGAACGCUGGCGGCAUGCCUAACACAUGCAAGUCGAACGGUAACAGGUUAAGCUGACGAGUGGCGAACGGGUGAGUAAUGCAUCGGAACGUGCCCGAUCGUGGGGGAUAACGCAGCGAAAGCUGCGCUAAUACCGCAUACGAUCUGAGGAUGAAAGCGGGGGACCGUAAGGCCUCGCGCGAUCGGAGCGGCCGAUGUCAGAUUAGGUAGUUGGUGGGGUAAAGGCCCACCAAGCCGACGAUCUGUAGCUGGUCUGAGAGGACGACCAGCCACACUGGGACUGGGACACGGCCCAGACUCCUACGGGAGGCAGCAGUGGGGAAUUUUGGACAAUGGGCGAAAGCCUGAUCCAGCAAUGCCGCGUGCAGGAAGAAGGCCUUCGGGUUGUAAACUGCUUUUGUACGGAGCGAAAAGGUCCUUUCUAAUACAAGGGGCUCAUGACGGUACCGUAAGAAUAAGCACCGGCUAACUACGUGCCAGCAGCCGCGGUAACAC